GGUGGCCGAAUGCUUACUCUAAUGGGCUGGCCCAUCCCUGAGUGUCUAGAGUUCCCAGCCCGCUUAAGGAAGGAAGGAAAACACAGGCAGCUCUAAGUGUACGACGAGGGAGGUCUCAUCGGCGGUGAGGAAGCCCAGGCGGGUCCCCUUCCCAGCUGAAAGGGGUUCGGAAUUUCACUCUGUCGCCAGGCUGGAAUGCAGUAGGGCAAUCUCGGCUCACUGCAACCUCCACCUCCCGAGUUCAAGUGAUGCUCCUGCUUCGGCCUCCUGAGUAGCUGGGACUACAGCGGUGUCUGCUCCUGGCACCUCAGGCACAGUCAGGGGUAGGAGGUGGUGAUCAGAUACACUCGCUGUGAGCAGUGCAAGGGGAAGCAGGUGCCCAGAGGUGCAUCCCGGUUUGGUGGGGGUGACAAACAUGGACAGGUAAGUGCAGGAGUGUGUGCAAUACUCAAUCUAAGAAAGGUAGUUCAGGCAGAGUUCAGGGAAGAUAUCUCUGUGCAGGGCCAGACAUGGGGAUGAGAUUCUGAUAAUUUGG
rnacentral:lncRNA from 1 species